UUGGAAUAUUUAAGGUAAGCACCUGAUCAUCUGUGUAUGUGCAUGUGCAUACACAUACACAUACACACUACAUAUA
rnacentral:miRNA from 1 species